CCAGCGUUGAGGGCAGUGGAAAUAAAACUUUCCACUAGUGGUUAAUUGAGAACUGCAUGUGGAAAUCGAUUUCCACAAGCAGUUCAGUUAAAAUAACUGCCUUCCACAGGCGGUUGUGUUAUGUCAACCGCCUGUGAAAAGGCUUAUCCAGAAAAUUUAAAUUGGGUUUUAAAAAUAGGUAACAAUUUUUUUAAUCAUAGGCAA
rnacentral:lncRNA from 1 species